rnacentral:rRNA from 1 species
AGCGGCGGAUGGGUGAGUAACACGUGGGGAACCUGCCCCUAAGUCUGGGAUACCAUUUGGAAACAGGUGCUAAUACCGGAUAAUAAAGCAGAUCGCAUGAUCAGCUUUUGAAAGGCGGCGUAAGCUGUCGCUAAGGGAUGGCCCCGCGGUGCAUUAGCUAGUUGGUAAGGUAACGGCUUACCAAGGCGACGAUGCAUAGCCGAGUUGAGAGACUGAUCGGCCACAUUGGGACUGAGACACGGCCCAAACUCCUACGGGAGGCAGCAGUAGGGAAUCUUCCACAAUGGACGCAAGUCUGAUGGAGCAACGCCGCGUGAGUGAAGAAGGUUUUCGGAUCGUAAAGCUCUGUUGUUGGUGAAGAAGGAUAGAGGUAGUAACUGGCCUUUAUUUGACGGUAAUCAACCAGAAAGUCACUGCUAACCACGUGCCAGCAGCCGCGGUAAUACGUAGGUGGCAAGCGUUGUCCGGAUUUAUUGGGCGUAAAGCGAGCGCAGGCGGAAAAAUAAGUCUAAUGUGGAAGCCCUCGGCUUAACCGAGGAACUGCAUCGGAAACUGUUUUUCUUGAGUGCAGAAGAGGAGAGUGGAACUCCAUGUGUGGCGGUGGAAUGCGUAGAUAUAUGGAAGAACACCAGUGGCGAACGCGGCUCUCUGGUCUGCAACUGACGCUGAGGCUCGAAAGCAUGGGUAGCGAACAGGAUUAGAUACCCUGGUAGUCCAUGCCGUAAACGAUGA